UGAGUAUUAGUGUCAUGUGUAGUGUGUAUGUUGAGUGAAACUCUUUGACCAAUUUGUUAAAAAAUAAGGUUGAUAGAAAUUGUUUGUACUGCUUUGAAGAUCAUUUGAAAGGUGUUUAUAGGCCGGAAAAUUUCCAGAAGAAGAUAGAUAAUGCUACAUAUCUCCAAUACAUAUGAAAUGCACAAAAACUGAUUCAACAAAUUAUGAGAAAAUAGCAAUAUGAAUACCAACAAUAGGCAGAUUAUACUCCAAAAUAUUACGAAAUCCAGUAGAAGUAGGCAUUAUCCUUCCGAUGACCAAUCUCUCUUCUUACAUGGAUGUCCAACGGGCGUCAAAAAAUAAUUCCCGGUCACAAAUGACAAUUAACAAAAAACUUAAGUUGUUUUAAGAAAUAAAAUUAUGUAUGUAUUCAUAACUUUAAUGUUGGUAUUAUAUCAAUAAAUGAUUAUUAUAUCAAUAAUAAAUGAUUAAUAAACAUUCGCAAAACAAA
rnacentral:lncRNA from 1 species